AACUGUGCGUACUUGCGCCAUUCUCCUCGUUUGGCAGGAGAGGAUCCAACAACACCGCGCCGCCGCCCGCUCACAGUGUCGCCGCCCGACUCCUCCUCAACGCGCCGCAGACCAACUCCUCGAUGCCGAUGUACCUCCUCCGCCAUACUGGGCUUCUCCCCGGUGGCUAUCAUCCGAGUAGUCAUUCAUUACCCAGCUUAAGCCAAUACAGGUUACACUCCAAAUAGACCGGGUACGUGAUUCUCUCUGUAGAUAUUGUAUAGGCAAUAUUCUGCCAAGCUUAGAAAAUAUAUAUUAUCCCAAGUUUGGUGUAUAUUCAUUUUUAUUUGCAUUCAUUUCUGUUUAUAACUGGGUCAGAUGCUCAUUCAGUUGCACAUGUUUGUCUGGAUGAAUCAUGCUUAUAAAUAUUAUUUAUGCAUUGUAUUGUGCAAGUCGUCAUCAGUCACUCAAUUGAUUAGGUGGAUGUUUGUUUCUAGUCUGAAUGAUUAUGUAUCAUCCUACAUGCUUGUUCCAAGUUUUCCUUUGCCUGAAUCUUAAUCAAUUAACGGAUAAAAUCUUACAUAAUUUGUUUCUUGUUUUGUAUCCUAUUCCAAGUUGGUCUGUACUGCUUUUGUUGGAGAAGACAUGAAGAUGCAGUACUACUAUGGAAAUGUCUAACUGUUUGACAAUAUGAUUGUAGUUCUCACAUGAUUCUCUUGCUGCCGUUGAGUGAUGAUCCUUCAUAUUGUGGCUGUAUGUGUUCUCUGGUUGAUAAAGGUCAUAGUGAUUAUUUUUGUGGAGUCCCCCUUGUUAGCUUAUUUUUUCAGGUUACGUCCUCAACUAAGAUUUGUGCAAAUGGCGGACAUUUAGCUAGUGGUACAUGCCUUGCCGGGCUCCCCGACGGAUAGUGUCUGACUUGCAAGCACGGCGGAGGCUUUGUCCACGGUCCUGCAGUGGAUGAUAUUGUUUGGUCGGCAAUGAUAAAGUGCUCCCACAAUGGCUGCCAGAGCGAGUCACCUAGCACGAGCUUGACGAUCACCACAGUGCUUCUACACUUCUGUAGCAACAUGAUUACUUUUACGUGUGGAUUCUACCUGUAGCAAGUAUUUCUGCUAUGAUGUUGUUUUGCUUGUAAAGAUUGGAUUUUUGGAUGCCUUGCACCAUCGUAUAUCAAUAUAAAA